GUGGGGAAUCUUGCGCAAUGGGCGAAAGCCUGACGCAGCCAUGCCGCGUGAAUGAUGAAGGUCUUAGGAUUGUAAAAUUCUUUCACCGGGGACGAUAAUGACGGUACCCGGAGAAGAAGCCCCGGCUAACUUCGUGCCAGCAGCCGCGGUAAUACGAAGGGGGCUAGCGUUGCUCGGAAUUACUGGGCGUAAAGGGCGCGUAGGCGGACAGUUUAGUCAGAGGUGAAAGCCCAGGGCUCAACCUUGGAAUUGCCUUUGAUACUGGCUGUCUUGAGUACGGGAGAGGUGAGUGGAACUCCGAGUGUAGAGGUGAAAUGCGUAGAUAUUCGGAAGAACACCAGUGGCGAAGGCGACUCACUGGCCCGUUACUGACGCUGAGGCGCGAAAGCGUGGGGAGCAAACAGGAUUAGAAACCCUGGUAGUCC
rnacentral:rRNA from 1 species